rnacentral:rRNA from 1 species
UACGUAGGGUGCGAGCGUUGUCCGGAAUUACUGGGCGUAAAGAGCUCGUAGGUGGUUUGUCGCGUUGUCCGUGAAAACUCACAACUCAAUUGUGGGCGUGCGGGCGAUACGGGCAGACUGGAGUACUGCAGGGGAGACUGGAAUUCCUGGUGUAGCGGUGGAAUGCGCAGAUAUCAGGAGGAACACCGGUGGCGAAGGCGGAUCUCUGGGCCGAUACUGACGCUGAGGAGCGAAAGCGUGGGGAGCAAACAGG